rnacentral:rRNA from 1 species
UACGUAGGGUGCGAGCGUUAAUCGGAAUUACUGGGCGUAAAGCGUGCGCAGGCGGCUUACUAAGACAGGUGUGAAAGCCCCGAGCUUAACUUGGGAAUGGCAUUGGAAACUGGCUGGCUGGAGUGUGGCAGAGGGGGGUGGAAUUCCACGUGUAGCAGUGAAAUGCGUAGAGAUGCGGAGGAACACCGAUGGCGAAGGCAGCCCCCUGGGCCAAUACUGACGCUCAGGCACGAAAGCGUGGGGAGCAAACAGG